rnacentral:rRNA from 1 species
UACGAAGGGUGCAAGCGUUACUCGGAAUUACUGGGCGUAAAGCGUGCGUAGGUGGUUCGUUAAGUCUGUCGUGAAAGCCCCGGGCUCAACCUGGGAAUGGCGAUGGAUACUGGCUCGCUAGAGUGCGGUAGAGGAGAGUGGAAUUCCCGGUGUAGCAGUGAAAUGCGUAGAGAUCGGGAGGAACAUCAGUUGCGAAGGCGGCUCUCUGGACCAGCACUGACACUGAGGCACGAAAGCGUGGGGAGCAAACGGG